CCCAAACAAAGGAGAAAAUGUUUCUAGAUGGAGAGAAGAAACUAAAGAAUCUCGACUUUGAAGGCUGGCAGAGGCUGUUUCAGCAAUGUCGAGAUUCAGACCUACAAACCACCUGGCCUGCAGAAGCGUGGCUUAGCUCCGAGGGACAUCCCCGCCUCCAGAAGACCAUCCGGCCAAGCUCCCUCCCAGACUUACACCCUGAACGAUCAGCCUGAACGCUGCUCCUCCCCCGUGAGAAACUACCGAUCAAACACCGCUGAUCCCCGAGCCGCGACGUCAUUGUUUACCCCCGUGACAGACCCGUAGGCCUCAACCAACUACCCUCAUAGUUGGCGACUCAAUCGUCAAGAACAUUCAGCAUCUGCUGUCCACUCAGUCUCUGGUGCAAAGGUCUCUGACAUUACGCUGCAGCUUCCCAGUUCUUCCCAGCUGCAACUUCCCUUUCUUUUACAGAAACACCAUUCAGUGGAGAGGAUAAUAACCCACGUGGGGUUUAAUGACAUCAAAAAUCAGAGCACAGAACUGUUAAAAAAGGACUUCACAUGCCUGUUAUCCUCCAUACAAGACUGGUUUUUAAUUUUAAAUGACAACUCAAGACCUACAAUGCAAGUUCAAUUAUACCAGUAGUCAUUAGUAGUAGAAGACCUAGGACCAGCAUUUUUACAAGAAAUGCCAAUAAUCCUCAUAAUUUUAAUGUUCUUAUUAAUCGUGAUAAUCUUA